rnacentral:rRNA from 1 species
UUUUAUGGAGAGUUUGAUCCUGGCUCAGGAUGAACGCUGGCGGCGUGCCUAAUACAUGCAAGUCGAGCGAACAGACAAGGAGCUUGCUCCUUUGACGUUAGCGGCGGACGGGUGAGUAACACGUGGGUAACCUACCUAUAAGACUGGGAUAACUUCGGGAAACCGGAGCUAAUACCGGAUAAUAUUUCGAACCGCAUGGUUCGAUAGUGAAAGAUGGUUUUGCUAUCACUUAUAGAUGGACCCGCGCCGUAUUAGCUAGUUGGUAAGGUAACGGCUUACCAAGGCGACGAUACGUAGCCGACCUGAGAGGGUGAUCGGCCACACUGGAACUGAGACACGGUCCAGACUCCUACGGGAGGCAGCAGUAGGGAAUCUUCCGCAAUGGGCGAAAGCCUGACGGAGCAACGCCGCGUGAGUGAUGAAGGUCUUCGGAUCGUAAAACUCUGUUAUUAGGGAAGAACAUACGUGUAAGUAACUAUGCACGUCUUGACGGUACCUAAUCAGAAAGCCACGGCUAACUACGUGCCAGCAGCCGCGGUAAUACGUAGGUGGCAAGCGUUAUCCGGAAUUAUUGGGCGUAAAGCGCGCGUAGGCGGUUUUUUAAGUCUGAUGUGAAAGCCCACGGCUCAACCGUGGAGGGUCAUUGGAAACUGGAAAACUUGAGUGCAGAAGAGGAAAGUGGAAUUCCAUGUGUAGCGGUGAAAUGCGCAGAGAUAUGGAGGAACACCAGUGGCGAAGGCGACUUUCUGGUCUGUAACUGACGCUGAUGUGCGAAAGCGUGGGGAUCAAACAGGAUUAGAUACCCUGGUAGUCCACGCCGUAAACGAUGAGUGCUAAGUGUUAGGGGGUUUCCGCCCCUUAGUGCUGCAGCUAACGCAUUAAGCACUCCGCCUGGGGAGUACGACCGCAAGGUUGAAACUCAAAGGAAUUGACGGGGACCCGCCCAAGCGGUGGGGCAUGUGGUUUAAUUCG